UAUGUUGCAUGUAUUUUUAUCAAGUGUGACACUUGUGUCUUAAUUUUACAAAAUUUCUGUACAUAAUUCUACAUUUUUAUGCUGUCAAAUUUGACAUUUGGUCUCUCCCCCAUAAUUUUAUACCUGGAAACUCCUUCCCGAUCCUAAGACCAUGUCGUACAUAUGAUGGUAUUUUCUUCUACUUAUAGGGUUCUUAAUAUGUACAAUCAACUACUAAUAUAAGUUUUUGGUGUUGUGCUUGAAGUUGGUAUAAUUUACAUUUUUUUCUAAAUAGUUUCUCCUAUACCAUUUAUUGAAUGAGCCACCGCUUUCUCAUUGCUUGUGAAGUUUUGCUUACUGCAUAUUAUGUUAUUUCACAUAUAAUAAAGUCACCCGACCUCAAUUUUAUGUAUCUUUAAAUAUUCUACCAAAUAUGACACUAAAUAAAUAAUUCUAUACAAAUAUCUCCAUACAUCUCAGAGAUUACUUUUGAUUAUUUGAUUCAGUUUUUUAGAAAGUAAUAUUGUAUCUGUGUAGCUCCUCCAAAACUGGUCACACAUCUUGGUGUCUACCAUGUCUAGAGUGGAGUUUGGCACAUGGUCAGCACUCAACAUACAGUUGUGGAAUUGCAUGAACUCUUUUCAGGAGAAAUGUUCUAUUCUGCACAGUUAAAGAAGGAACACAAAGCAGGCUACAAGACUGUUGGCUACUUUUGUUUCUUUUCUUUCUUUUUUAAACAAACACUAAUAAAACAGGAUUGAUAUCUCUUAAAAGUUCUAGUAAAGCCAAGAGAUUUUCCAGAAGGUGGCUGCCUCCUUUUAUUAAAAGCAUCUGUGUCACAGCCACUGGCAGAGACUCAAACAACCUGAAGUGGUUGGCUCUGGGAAAUCACAGAGAUAGAACACAGCCAAAUUCUGAGAUGGAACAACGUGUAAAAUCAUACUACACCUUACUUUGAUGACCAAGAGGAAAGAUAUUUCUGCCUCAACAAAUCUCAUAAAGCAAGGUGAUUUAUGGUCUCCUUUGAGGUUAGUUAGGUAACAAGAAAAUAUAUAAUAAUGCUAUUUCAUAGACUUGACAUAAGACUCCCUUUGUUAUGACAUUUCUGUAAUUAAUUUUUCUACUUUCAUUUUCUCGCUAUAUGAUUCCCUUCACAUUUGGUGUUUUAUAACAGAUGUCCAUUUUCAGUGAAACAUUCUUAAAGCAUGAAAAGAAAUCUUCUGGGAAUACUAUCUUAGUGAAUAUUCACAGUAAUAAAGUUAUAUAUCUCAAAGGAUGAAAAUGCCAUGUAAUUCCUCUCCAAUAUGAUAAAUACUGAGAGUCACCUCGAGAUGAUCUGUAUAGUGGGGUGGUGGAGAGCAUUUACAGUCACAGAUGAACUCCGUCUGAUUUUUUUUUUUCUUUUUUUGGAAUGGUUCCUGUACUUACAUAUGAAUAAGAGAAUGACUUAUCCCCUUGGGAAUUCACAGCACAUCAAACCAAAUUAGGAAGCCAGGCAGCUGUGACCUGGUUUUUAAGGGCCAAGAAAGCUAUAGAGUUUCACUAUUGAACCUUGUAGCUCAAAAUGAUUCCCUGGUUCCCAUGCCAUUUGGGACCCAGGAGCAUCUCACUGACUCAUAAAAACACCGCUCUGGACUUGUGUUUUCUCUUACAUUCUCCAGUGUCGUAUAUGAGGAAAUAAAGACUUCGAUGUGAGAGAUCUUGAGGCUGGCAGUCUUUUGAAGAGGAAAUGGAAAUAGGAAUUAGAAUGAACAAUGUUAGCUAGGAAGAACUUAAAUUCCAGAUGUACCUUAUAUAGUGAAAAGAUUUACCUUAUAUGGAGUAAAGCUUGCAAAACCGCCUGUUGGGUUCUUUCAUUGUUAUUGUUGCCUCUGGAUGAGCUUUCACCACCACUAUGUCACCCCACCAGCCUCCUGAAUACAUCCAUUCAUCUACGAAGUGUUAAUUCCAAGAUAACCUUUGCCAUCUGGAUUCUGCCACAGAGUGUUAGCAUGGAGACUGAAACAGGAGACAAGCAGUGGUUAGUUGGAAACAGCUUAUUUUCAAUGAAACUCCAUUUCUUUACUUACUUGUACUCAAAGAGGAGUGAAACCAAAUCAAAAUGCUGUCCUCAGCACUCCCUGAUUUUAAUAGGUGGUCCUCCUUGGUGUUUGACCACCCCCAGGCUCUUUCUAUCUUACCCUCUGUUGCUCUUUAAACGAAGCUUAAAAAGGAAUUAGGAACUUUGCUGGUUCCUCCCAAGAGAAAAAGAAUUCGCUGGUGGCAACUACCAGCACCACAUUGUUUAUCGGAACAUAAAGUUCGGUAGAAAUCCCACAGUGACGUCACCCCUCAGCACUUGCUGAUGGAGCUGGAGACGUUUCCAAGACAUUUUCAACUGGAUUGGACACUCUUUGCAGGAAAUGGUCAACCAGCUCUCACUUCAAAGGCCUUUCUUUUACUAGGUUGUGUUUAGAUCAUGGAAGAAGUGGAAAGUAACCUAAACCAUAGACUCAGUCUAAACUGGUACUUAGUGGAUGCCAAAAGAACUUCAUUGCUGUGAUUAUUUUUCUAUGGGUUGAUAAGUGUAGUUACUGAUAUUUAGGUGAACCUCCUUCUGAAAUAUUGCUAAACUAGUGGAGUCUUGCUAUGGGAAUGGAAAAAUGCUUAAGGAGCCUAAUACAAGGACAACACAUAAAAAUAGUCCUGGAGACAGACUAGACUUGCUGGAGGUCAAGCCACAGAUGGUUUUAAAGGAAAACUGUCUGCAUUAGAAGAGCUGGGAGCUGAAAACUAGAUCAAAGAAACAAAUUCUCAAUAGAGUGACAGAUCAAAAAUACAGAUACAUUUAUUUAGAAGGAAGAGGGUGCAUGGAUAGGAAACUGCCACACUGUGUUCCAGUUAAGGUGCUACACCUUUAACUUGCUUUUGUCUAUUAUGGUAAACAAACAGUUCUGUAUUCUAACUGUAAUGGGGAGGUACAGUCACAUUGUCUAUUAGUGGAAAUGCAUCAUAAUCUUGAACUCUCUAUCAAGGAAACUUUUGGCUGACACUAAAAAUAUCCUUAUGAAAUUAUUAUUUAAGUAGAUGACCAUGCUAAACUUAGCAAAGGCUCAUCACCAAAAUGAAAAAUGGCUGAAUUUCUUAUGUUACCAAGGAAAAUUGAGACAAAAAUACAGCCUUUUAGAGUUAGAAGACCUACAGCUAAGUUUGGUUUUCUUAUUAUAAAAUAAAGAUAAAAAUAUUUACUUGAAAAA